AUUGCUUCUCAGCCUUUUGGCUAAGAUCAUGUGUAGUAUCUGCUCUUAUCAGUUUAAUAUCUGAUACGUCCUCUAUCUGAGGACAAUAUAGCAAAUGGAUUUUUGGAGCAGGGAGAUGGAAUAGGGGCUUGUCUGUCCACUCCACGCAUCAAUCUGGUUUUGCAGUAAUUCUAGGAACAGUGAACCCCCU
rnacentral:snRNA from 1 species